UCUUUGUCUAUGUAAAAUACAAAUAAGCUCCGUCAUUUCUGAUCCUCGAGAUGGAAUGCUAUGAGGUCUUUAUGUUGGUCUCUGCUUUUAAACUUUGUUGCACAUUUGAAUUUCGAAGUAGCAGUAGAUAAAAUAUUAUAAAAAGGAUAGUUGCUACAUUUGUGUGUGUGUUUGUGAGUGAGCGAGUGUGCGCGCGCGCUUUUGAAAAGGCCCUUGUUGCCCGAAAGAUAAGUCCGACAGUCUUUUUGUUGUGCCUUUCUGUGACUCAGCAUCUUCACCAUUUGGUAAGCAGCAACAACUAUCCUUUUCAUAAUAUUGUUACAUUCCAUCCUGGAUUUUUUGUUGUUCAUCAGAGAAAAGAUUUUUCUGAGGAAUUAAACUAGAUGGUAGUGUAGAACUUGCAAACUUUUUAAAAUAUGAAGUAAAAGAUUUUAACUUUAAAUUAGUUUAAUUCAAAUAUGGGGCAAUGUUGAGAAUUGAAAAGGUGGAAAAAAUAAAUAAGAUAUAUCUUAGUGGCAUUGAGAUGUCGUAUGACUGAUGGAGGAAAGAUUUUGCAUUUCUUUUUCCAAGUAAGAAUGCACUUGCUCUCACUUGCUUCAGUACAUGUCUAGUGAUUCACAUGAAACAGAGAAAAAGAUAGACUGCCCUGUUAAUGAACAUGAGAUUGCCCAGUAUCACUCUGACAGAAGAGUAUGGUGUUUCCUUGAUAUGGUAUCUGGUCAGCAAUGUCAUUGGGACCAAAUGAAAGCUACUGCAGAUACCACACAGAAGCAAUUACUGUUACUGGAAUACCAGUAAUGUUUAUUAAAUUCAGUUGUAAAGUAGUUCUGGGCAUUGCAGCUGGUGAGCAAUGUCAUUGGGCACCAAAAGAAGUUCAGUUAUGAUGGAUUUCUGGCCUUCAGUCCAUGGGAAAAUUCACACCAGAUUGCAUCAAGACUGUUAUAUUCCAAGGAUAUCUUGGAAGAUUGAUAGUAUUCCUGAACGAAAACAAUCCAUAUAGUAUUUCACGUGUGUAUCAAAUUGCCAUUUGUUGUGGCACAUAAAUGUUUGCAACUUGAUUGUAAUUUUUGAACAGUUUCUCAACAAUCCAAGAAUUUCUUGUAAUGAGAAGUAGACAUUGUUGCUUGGGUAAAGGAAAUACAAAUCACGGUCAAUAUAACUACCUUAUUAACUUUCCACAGAGAAAUAUUUUUCACUACUGCUACUUAAAAAUUCAAAUGUGUGACAAAGUUUGCUUACAGAACUUGGCAUAAAGAUCUCCCUUAUUUGUAUUUUUUAGGUAGCUCUUAUUGUUUGAUCCUUCAAAUGGAAUGCUAUGACCUCCAUGUGAUCUAUUCCUUAGUAGUUAAUUACACAAAUAUAUGAACAUUACAAUGAGAGGGGUCUUUAUGCCAGGCCCUGUAAAAGUAAUGGCAUCUUACUUAAUAUUAUUGUUGGGAAUUUGAUGGCACAGCUGUGGGGAGACCACAAAUUUCAGGGUUUGCUAACUGCAAAUCUGGCACACAGUUGCUGAGUGAUUCAAGUACUUUUCAUAAUGUUUCACUGUUGAUACAGUUGUAUGUGAGAUUAUAAACCUAUUUGAACAACACCUUCACUUCAAAUUGCUGCAAAGAAAUGGUUACGGUAUCAGUGUGACGCUCUAUAUGUGUUUCCUCAACUGUGUCCUCAUUGCUACUGUCUUCAUGUGAAAUUACUGCGGACACACUUCUGAAACCAAACCUGUACAUCUUGUGAAGACAGAUUAAUGGGCUAUUCCUGCAGCUUUCUGGUAUUUUAUCAAAACCCCACUCUGGAUAGAAAAUAAAGAUUGCACAGAAAUGCUUGCAUGGGUAUUUAUAUAUCUCAAAAUCUUCACAUGCGCAGUUUGGUAGAGCAAAGCUUACAACAUAAUUAGUCUUUGAACAUUGUACUCUCCAUACAAAACAUUGUCCAAGUUCACAUUCAUUCACUAAUCUUGCAGUUAAUUCAACUUUCCCUGGU